rnacentral:rRNA from 1 species
AAAUUGAAGAGUUUGAUCAUGGCUCAGAUUGAACGCUGGCGGCAGGCCUAACACAUGCAAGUCGAGCGGUAGCACAGAGAGCUUGCUCUCGGGUGACGAGCGGCGGACGGGUGAGUAAUGUCUGGGAAACUGCCUGAUGGAGGGGGAUAACUACUGGAAACGGUAGCUAAUACCGCAUAACGUCGCAAGACCAAAGUGGGGGACCUUCGGGCCUCAUGCCAUCAGAUGUGCCCAGAUGGGAUUAGCUAGUAGGUGGGGUAACGGCUCACCUAGGCGACGAUCCCUAGCUGGUCUGAGAGGAUGACCAGCCACACUGGAACUGAGACACGGUCCAGACUCCUACGGGAGGCAGCAGUGGGGAAUAUUGCACAAUGGGCGCAAGCCUGAUGCAGCCAUGCCGCGUGUGUGAAGAAGGCCUUCGGGUUGUAAAGCACUUUCAGCGGGGAGGAAGGCGGUGAGGUUAAUAACCUCACCGAUUGACGUUACCCGCAGAAGAAGCACCGGCUAACUCCGUGCCAGCAGCCGCGGUAAUACGGAGGGUGCAAGCGUUAAUCGGAAUUACUGGGCGUAAAGCGCACGCAGGCGGUCUGUCAAGUCGGAUGUGAAAUCCCCGGGCUCAACCUGGGAACUGCAUUCGAAACUGGCAGGCUAGAGUCUUGUAGAGGGGGGUAGAAUUCCAGGUGUAGCGGUGAAAUGCGUAGAGAUCUGGAGGAAUACCGGUGGCGAAGGCGGCCCCCUGGACAAAGACUGACGCUCAGGUGCGAAAGCGUGGGGAGCAAACAGGAUUAGAUACCCUGGUAGUCCACGCUGUAAACGAUGUCGAUUUGGAGGUUGUGCCCUUGAGGCGUGGCUUCCGGAGCUAACGCGUUAAAUCGACCGCCUGGGGAGUACGGCCGCAAGGUUAAAACUCAAAUGAAUUGACGGGGGCCCGCACAAGCGGUGGAGCAUGUGGUUUAAUUCGAUGCAACGCGAAGAACCUUACCUGGUCUUGACAUCCACAGAACUU